GGAUGUGAGGGUAAUCUGACAUCUGUCACCCCAUGGAUGACCAGGGUUGAUUCGCUGAUUUGGCUGGCUAGGUGGCUGUCCCCACUGCUCCAUGUGCGUCCCUCCUGAAGCUUUGUGCUUGGUCCAUGAGGAUGACCUUCCCUGACAGAGGAGGACCGUUCUUGGGUCAAGGGUAUACGGUUACUGCACUUCCCUGCUGGAACCUCCAGACAAACUCUCAAGGUCUAUUUGUGGGAGAACAUAGGGGAGUCCAGCUUCCAAGACUCCAGACACAUCCAAAUGAGGUGCUGCACGUGGCAGUCUGCCUUCUUU
ensembl:misc_RNA 7SK 7SK RNA